rnacentral:lncRNA from 1 species
ACGAAAAUCCCCAGUUUCCACUGGGAAAAAGCAGCAAUCAGAUUUCUUCCAACUGCAGUGGGCAGCUGGGUGAAGGGAACUCGGCUGGUGCUCCUGCAGUAUGGUUCCAGCAGCACAGUCACAGAGGCAGCAACCUCCAGGGGAGAGGCAUCAUCUCCCACUGGCAGAGCUGGAUGCAUAAGGCAACAUCUGUACAGCUCUGAUUUCAUCUGCUUAGGGGAAACCCUUCCUAGGCAUGGGCAGGACCCCAGCAGCUUGCCAACAACGCACUUCAAAGCCGCACACCAGCUCUGGAUGAAACACCAGCACCGCAGCAUGCCGGGGACUUUCCUCUUCCAAGCCGGCUUGAUGGAUGGGCAGCAGUGGAGACAGAAAUCUUCCUGUUAUACUCACAGGGCAGGUACUGAAUCAGCAACCAUGGUGGCUACACAAGCUGCACCUCUCUGAACAAGCCUGAGACAAAAAAGAAGUGUUUCAGUGUAUCCCUCAGUCCCUAUAGCACUUUCCAGCUCCUACAGCCACCUCACCCCUUGCUGGUUAGCAGGCUUCACUCUUUCAAAGAAGAGGUUGAGCCUUCAUUGGUUCUUGAUGUAGAUGGCAAUGUGACUUGGCCAAGCUCUUGCCCCACCUGAUCCUCCAGGCCUUGCAUUUUCAGGGACAAUCUGCUCCUCACCCUUUGUGCUCUGCCAAGACCCUGGCACUUCCCACCCCUCCCACCUCAGGAGGAAGCAAGAACCACCUGUGUUUGCCUAAACUGCCACCUUGUAGGCAAAGGUCUGGUGGUCCUGGUGGCCAAGAAGGUAGCCAAGAGUCAGUGGCAUGGCCUUGCAGUGAAGAUGGCCAAACACACACUCAGUAGAAUUAACAAAAGUGAUGCCCAGAGGUCAAGGGGAGUGAUCUCUCUGCUCUAUUCAUCACUCCUGAGACCACAGAUGGAGCACUGUGUCUAACUUGGGGUCUCCAAGCAGACAUUGUCACUGUGGAGGCACACAGAGGGGAUGAGGGAGCUGGAGCACAUGAAGUGAGAAGAGAGGUUUGUUCAGCCCAGAGAUGAGGAUGUGAAGGGGGAAUGUCACUUUUUCAUCUAACUGCCUAAUGAUUAAUUAUAGAGAAGAAAGGAGUCAGACUCUUCUCAGCACACAAGAAGCCAUGGACAGAAGUUACAGCAAAGCAGGUUUAGAUCAGAUGCAAGAAGAACAUUUUCAGUAAGAGGCUGGUCAAGCCUUGAACCAUGAAGCCAGAGAGAUGUUGGGAUCUGUGUCCUUGGAGGUAUUCAAAACUCAACCACACAAAGGCACGAGCCUGUCCAAGAGCGGGAACUUGAAUCAGGAGUUUUCAAAGGUCCCUGCCACCAAAACCAUUCCCUGAAUCCAUGCUCUGGUUGUGCAGAUAUGGAGCCAAGGCACAGAGGAGAUGAAAUAAUACAACCACAGGUAUGCAGGGGACC